AGGAGCUUGCUCCUGGAUUCAGCGGCGGACGGGUGAGUAAUGCCUAGGAAUCUGCCUGGUAGUGGGGGACAACGUUUCGAAAGGAACGCUAAUACCGCAUACGUCCUACGGGAGAAAGCAGGGGACAUUCGGGCCUUGCGCUAUCAGAUGAGCCUAGGUCGGAUUAGCUAGUUGGUGAGGUAAUGGCUCACCAAGGCGACAAUCCGUAACUGGUCUGA
rnacentral:rRNA from 1 species